rnacentral:lncRNA from 1 species
CAGAGGGUAAAUCAGAAGAAUGUGUUGAACACUGCUAAGAGGUCACGUUAGACAGGUCAGAGGAAGGGCCACUGGGUUUUGCACCAUGGAGAUUGUAGGUAAUCAUGAACAGAGUCAUUCAGUAGAGGAAUGAAUUCAAGGGCAAGAUUGGAACAGGUUAAAGAAUGACUAGAAGGUAAGAAAUGGGGGCUGAGUAGAGACAAUUAUCUCAAGCAGUUUUGCGACUAGAAAAAAAAAAGAUAAAGCAACAAUAGAGGAUAUGUGACUACAAGAGAAGUUGUGGGAUUUUUGUUUGCUUGCUUGCUUUAUAAAUGAAAGAUACCAGAAUACAUUUCUCUGCUGUAGGAAGACCUUGAAUUCCAUGUUGAGAGGUUGAGAUUUUAUUUUGGAAACAUUGCAAGUUUUUAAGCUGGAAAAUGACAUGAUGAAGUCAGUGUUUUAGGAAGAUUCAUCUGAAAAGAGCUGCCCAUAAAUUGUAUAAAAUUGGAAAAGUAUACAUAGCCAUGAAAAGUGCUGGAUGUCACCCAAAGGGAGCCGACUAAUGCAACAGAAAACGGCCUUAAAGAGGCUCCCGAAUGAGGUGAAUUCUUCACCCAACCUACAAACUCGAAAGAAGCCGAUAUCCCACUUAACUCUGAGCAAGCUACUUAACACAGGUAAACACACACACACAAUGGAAUAUUAUGCAGCCAUAAGAGGAGAACACUGCCAUUGGCAACAACACGGAUGGAACCUGAGGACAUUGUGCUGUGUAAUAUGUCACACAGAGAAAGACAAAUACCUACGUCUUCACUUAUAUAUGGAAUCUAAAAAAAUCCAAACUCCUAGAAAUAGAAACCAGAAUGAUGGUUUCCAGAAGCUGGCAGUUGGGGGAGAUAGAUGUUGGUCAAAAGGUACAAACUUCUAAUUAUGAGUAAGUUCUGGAGAUUUAAUGUACAGCAUGGUGAUGACAGUUAACAAUCUUACAUUAUUUACUUGAAGGUUAUAUACUAAGAGAAUAGAUCUUAAAUGUUCUCACCACACACACACCCACACACAAUGGUAGUUAAGAGGCUUGAGAAAGGUAUUAGCUAAUGCUAUGCUGGUAAUCAUUUUAAGAUAUAUGACUGUAUCAAAUCAACACUUUUUACACCUUCAAUUUAUGCAAUAGUACAUGCCAAUUAUAUCUCAACAAACCUGGGGAGGGGGAUAAGUGUAGCUCUCAAACACAUUAAUUUAUAUAGUUAUGCCUCUAAGAAACUGAGCAUUUCUGAAACUUGGCUUAAACUGAUGGCCCAAUGGGAUAGAAAGAGCAGCUGUCGAUGCCCUUCAUUCAGAUCAUUCUUACACAGAAGCAAGUUCAGACCAAGCUCAUACUGCUACUGAGAGAUCCUUUUCACCCUGCACAAAAUUCUGAUCAUUCUGGGUAGGUACAAUUAUGUAAAUCUAGCACAUCUGAAGUAUGCUAGGGGAGUGUGAAUUUUAAAUAAUCUUAUUGUGAAUCUUUCUGUAAAGCAAAUUAUUAACUCUUAAUUUUCUUGUUUUGUAAAAUCAGAUUUUGAUAUGUGACAUGUUAACAGUUGGAUAAAUCUAUAAGUCUGCUUCAUAAAGUGUGUAAUCUUCUGCAACUGCAGGCAUCAACAUUCAUGGUUCCAUGAGAUAUGCAACCUCAUGCGUUGGAUUAAGCAAAUGCCGUUCUGCAUGCCUAAUUAAGGGCAGAGAUGGUGGCCUGCUCUUUCCCUUCUUCAGCCCCAUUCCAUCUAGAGACUCUCGAUCGCCUGAGGAAAUUAUACAGACAUCCCUGUUUCUGUGCCUUGUGUACUCGAAAUCAAGCCCUAUAACCGAAUUAGCUUCACUCUGCUCAGAACUCUGCAUCUUCUGGCUUUUUAAAAACUGGCUCCCUUACUAGUCUCAAGUUUGUAUUUUCAAUUAUUAAAGAAGAGACAUUCCUUAUCAAAACCGCAGCUCCUCUCAUUAAAAAAAG